rnacentral:rRNA from 1 species
GAUGAACGCUGGCGGCAGGCCUAACACAUGCAAGUCGAACGGUAGCACAGAGAGCUUGCUCUCGGGUGACGAGUGGCGGACGGGUGAGUAAUGUCUGGGAAACUGCCCGAUGGAGGGGGAUAACUACUGGAAACGGUAGCUAAUACCGCAUAACGUCGCAAGACCAAAGUGGGGGACCUUCGGGCCUCACACCAUCGGAUGUGCCCAGAUGGGAUUAGCUAGUAGGUGGGGUAAUGGCUCACCUAGGCGACGAUCCCUAGCUGGUCUGAGAGGAUGACCAGCCACACUGGAACUGAGACACGGUCCAGACUCCUACGGGAGGCAGCAGUGGGGAAUAUUGCACAAUGGGCGCAAGCCUGAUGCAGCCAUGCCGCGUGUAUGAAGAAGGCCUUCGGGUUGUAAAGUACUUUCAGCGGGGAGGAAGGCGGUGGAGUUAAUAACUUCACCGAUUGACGUUACCCGCAGAGGAAGCACCGGCUAACUCCGUGCCAGCCGCCGCAGUAA